UACAUGGGGUGCAAACGUUGCUCGGAAUUAUUGGGCGUAAAGCGCACGUAGGCGGUUCGUUAAGUCGGAUGUGAAAGCCCUCGGCUCAACUGAGGAAGUGCACCCGAAACUGGCGAGCUUGAGUACGAAAGAGGAUCGCGGAAUUCCCGGUGUAGAGGUGAAAUUCGUAGAUAUCGGGAGGAACACCGGUGGCGAAGGCGGCGAUCUGGGUCGAUACUGACGCUGAGGUGCGAAAAGCGUGGGGGAGCAAACAGG
rnacentral:rRNA from 1 species